GGGCCCGUGGCUCAGUUUGGUUAGAGCGUUCGACUGAUAAUCGAAAGGUCCGGAGUUCAAAUCUCCGCGGGCCCA
rnacentral:tRNA from 1 species